rnacentral:misc_RNA from 1 species
AGAGCUUUGAGAAUGGUAUAGGUGUUGUCAAGUUAAUGGGACGGCACAGUGGAUUUAUAGCAAUGUAUGCUACUCUUGCCAGCCGAGAUGUGGACUGUUGCUUGAUUCCAGAAUCACCCUUUUACCUUGAAGGCCCUGGUGGACUUUUUGAAUUCAUUAGAAAAAGACUAAAAGAACAUGGGCACAUGGUUAUUGUAAUUGCUGAAGGUGCAGGACAAGAGCUUCUUUGUGAAAGUAUGCGUGCCAUGGACCAG